GGCAUACUUAAUAGUUACUGCCUCCGAUCCAAAAUAAGUGUCUCAGUUUUGAACUAAGCCUAGUUCAAGCCUAUUUCAAAACUGCGACACUUAUUUUGGAUCGGAGGUAGUAUUAAAGUUCUUGAAGUUUGUACU